ACAGACUUAAGUUAAGAUUAGUAAAACUAUUGGUUUUCAAAACCGAAAAUUUAGAUCUGUG
rnacentral:tRNA from 1 species